GGGGGCAUAGCUCAGCGGGAGAGCGCCUGCCUUACAAGCAGGAUGUCACUGGUUCAAAUCCAGUUGUCCCCACCA
rnacentral:tRNA from 1 species